rnacentral:ncRNA from 1 species
ACAAUGAUACUUCUGCCGAAGGGCAGCCCGGCGAGAACCGCGGGGAGGCGAGGAGCCUAUG